UACGUAGGGGACCAGCGUUGUCCGGAUUUACUGGGCGUAAAGAGCGCGCAGGCGGUCGUUCAAGUCGAGUGUGAAAGCCCCCGGCUCAACUGGGGAGGGUCACGCGAUACUGAUCGACUCGAAGGCAGGAGAGGGUAGUGGAAUUCCCGGUGUAGUGGUGAAAUGCGUAGAUAUCGGGAGGAACACCAGUGGCGAAGGCGACUACCUGGCCUGUUCUUGACGCUGAGGCGCGAAAGCUAGGGGAGCAAACGGG
rnacentral:rRNA from 1 species